rnacentral:rRNA from 1 species
UGCCAGCAGCCGCGGUAAUACAGAGGGUGCAAGCGUUAAUCGGAAUUACUGGGCGUAAAGGGCGCGUAGGUGGGCGCAUAAGUUAGAUGUGAAAACCCUAGGCUCAACCUAGGAACUGCAUUUAAAACUGUGAGUCUAGAGUAUGGUAGAGGGAAGUGGAAUUUCCGGUGUAGCGGUGAAAUGCGUAGAUAUCGGAAGGAACAUCAGUGGCGAAGGCGGCUUCCUGGGCCAAUACUGACGCUGAGGCGCGAAAGCGUGGGUAGCAAACAGGAUUAGAUA